GACGAACGCUGGCGGCGUGCUUAACACAUGCAAGUCGAACGGACAGGCCCUGCUUUUGUGGGGUGCUCGAGUGGCGAACGGGUGAGUAUCACGUGAGUAACAUGCCCUUGACUUUGGGAUAACUUCAGGAAACUGGGGCUCAUACCGGGUAGAAGCUCCUGCUGCAUGGUGGGGGUUGGAAAGUUUCGGCGGUUGGGGAUGGACUAGCGGCUUAUCAGCUUCUUGGUGGGGUAGUGGCUUACCAAGGCUUUGACGGGUAGCCGGCCUGGGAGGGUGACCGGCCACAUUGGGACUGAGAUACGGCGCAGAAUCCUACGGGAGGCAGCAGUGGAGAAUAUUGCACAAUGGGCGGAAGCCUGAUGCAGCAACGCCGCGUGCGGGAUGACGGCCUUCGGGUUGUAAACCGCUGUCGCCUGUGACGAAGCGGGAGUGACGGUAAUGGGUAAAGAAGCACCGGCUAACUACGUG
rnacentral:rRNA from 1 species